CUUGGUCAUUUAGAGGAAGUAAAAGUCGUAACAAGGUUUCCGUAGGUGAACCUGCGGAAGGAUCAUUAACUAUGCUAACGCAUAACUUUAGCUCGUGGCCUUUCGGGGCUGCUGAGUGACCACCCUUUGUGAACUAUUAUUUUUUUGCUUCGGCAGCACGCCCUCACGGGUGGUAAGGCUGCCGACAGCCCAUACCAUAAACUAUUUUGUUACCAAAACCAUGCAGUCUGAUUUUCUGAUAAAUUUUAAAAGUUAAAACUUUCAGCAACGGAUCUCUUGGUUCUCGCAUCGAUGAAGAACGCAGCGAAACGCGAUAGGUAAUGUGAAUUGCAGAAUUCCGUGAAUCAUCGAAUCUUUGAACGCACAUUGCGCCUUCUGGUAUUCCGGUAGGCAUGUCUGUCUGAGCGUCAGCAAACACCCUCAGCUGAGUAUUUUUUAAAAGUAUUCACGCUGGUCUUGGGCUUGGAAGCUGGGUUUAACACCCCUGCGCCUGCCCUAAACUUGCUGCACGACCGCUGGCUUCGGCUGGGUCAAUGGAGUGGUGUCACAAUCUUCCAGAAGACUUUCAACUGUAGCGCGGUGGCGUUAAACCUGCUGUCCGAAAGGACCGAAGUUUUGACCUCAGAUCAGAUAAGGAUACCCGCUGAACUUAAGCAUAUCAAUAAGCGGAGGAAAAGAAACCAACAGGGAUUGCCUCAGUAACGGCGAGUGAAGCGGCAAGAGCUCAGAUUUGAAAUCCGGUAGGUUUACCUGCUUGAGUUGUAAUCUGCAGAGGAAGUUUCGGCUUAGAUACCGGUCCAGAUUCCUUGGAAUAGGAUGACAUAGAGGGUGAGAAUCCCGUGCCUGGCCGGCCGUCAACGCCAUGUGAAGCUCCUUCGACGAGUCGAGUUGUUUGGGAAU
rnacentral:sRNA from 1 species